GAUGAACGCUGGCGGCGUGCCUAAUACAUGCAAGUCGAGCGAACAGAUGAGGAGCUUGCUCCUCUGACGUUAGCGGCGGACGGGUGAGUAACACGUGGAUAACCUACCUAUAAGACUGGGAUAACUUCGGGAAACCGGAGCUAAUACCGGAUAAUAUAUUUAACCGCAUGGUUCAAUAGUGAAAGACGGUUUUGCUGUCACUUAUAGAUGGAUCCGCGUCGCAUUAGCUAGUUGGUAAGGUAACGGCUUACCAAGGCAACGAUGCGUAGCCGACCUGAGAGGGUGAUCGGCCACACUGGAACUGAGACACGGUCCAGACUCCUACGGGAGGCAGCAGUAGGGAAUCUUCCGCAAUGGGCGAAAGACUGACGGAGCAACGCCGCGUGAGUGAUGAAGGUCUUCGGAUCGUAAAACUCUGUUAUUAGGGAAGAAAAAAUGUGUAAGUAACUAUGCACGUCUUGACGGUACCUAAUCAGAAAGCCACGGCUAACUACGUG
rnacentral:rRNA from 1 species